rnacentral:rRNA from 1 species
UACGUAGGGUGCAAGCGUUGUCCGGAAUUAUUGGGCGUAAAGAGCUCGUAGGCGGUCUGUCACGUCGGCUGUGAAAACCCGAGGCUCAACCUCGGGCCUGCAGUCGAUACGGGCAAACUAGAGUACUGCAGGGGAGACUGGAAUUCCUGGUGUAGCGGUGAAAUGCGCAGAUAUCAGGAGGAACACCGGUGGCGAAGGCGGGUCUCUGGGCCGAUACUGACGCCGAGGAGCGAAAGCGUGGGGAGCAAACAGG